ensembl:lncRNA
GUGGGGGUGGGUUUAUCCUGGGGGGCGGUGGGGGGUGGGAGGGUUUACUGUAACAAGCUGUUUAGUCUCGUAAUGUACGUAACUGUAGAAGACAACCAAGGCUUGUCUGUUUGGUCAUGCGAGAGAAACUUGAACACAAUACCAAAACCUUCACUAAUGAACGGUAAAGAUACAUCUUACUAAAUGGGAGAGUCUUCAAUUGAAUUGAGAAAAUUGUAGUAAUAUUUAACUUGGGAGAAUGUAUUUGUCUGUGCUGUGUAAAUAUAAACAUAACGAUAUAUAUAUACAUAAUUAUUAUUGUUAUUAUUAUACAUACACAGUUGAAUAAUUGUGCACUCCAUAUUAGUUGUUAUACAACAAAUGUAGAGCACAGAGUUAUUCAACUGCAUUUAUUUUGGUUCUGUUUAGGAGCUUACAUAGUUUAACCCUACUGUCCUAUUCAUAUCCAUCACUCCUUAAUCAGGCUAGUUAUUUGGUUAAGAAUAGAUUUUUUUUUUCCGACUUUCUUUUGUAUAUGUUUCAUAUAAUGGAAGGGCGUUCAAGUGGUUGAGGUUGGUGUCAAUGUAAUGGUAAAUGUUUCAACGGAAGUGUUUAGAAAACAUGUUUGCUAUAGCAGUGAGGAAAUAUUAGCUGUGCAUUAUUUUUAUUUUGGUUUUUGAUUUGCUGUUUCGGUUGUCAUCCCGACAUCACUAUCACGACAGGAUUUCACUUUUGUGUUUCACAAAAAAUGUAAAAAACUGGCACAAAAAUAUGAAAUGCAUAUAGUAAUGACAAAUAGUUAGCAUGGUAGCAUCUUUUAUCUGCAUAUACUAUGCUUUUUUUUUCUCCAAAAACCUGCUGUUGUGUUCUAUUAAUGUGAAGAUUGUGUAUCAGGGAAGUUUAACUGUUUAGCAAUGUGUGUGUGUUUUUGCGUGUGUGUGUGCGUUUGUCUGUGUGUGUGUGUGUGCGAGCGGGUGUGUAUGUGAGUGUGUGUGUGUGUGUGUGUGUGUGUGUGUGUGUGUGUGUGUGUGUGUGUGUGUGUGUGUGUGUGUGGGGUGUGUGUGUGUGUGUGUGUGUGUGUGUGUGUGUGUGUGUGUAUGUGUAUGUGUUUUGUUUGGGUGUAUGUUAUGGCAUCAAGCAAAUGACGUCAAUGAACCGUGUCCAGUUUGAUCGCCUUCAUGUGGUCCAGAUAGUAGUCAGACAGAGUCCUAUAGUUUUUUAACCAUUGUUUCUAUUGCAGCAUAAUCAUGGAACUAAAAUAUUUACAUUAUCAUGUACUGUUGUCUGUGUGAGAACAAAGUAAACGCUAUGGCUUUGAAGGUCAUGCCCAAACCAUCGGAUAUUCUAUAUUCUGAGCUUUCCAACGAUAUAGCAACAUAAAUGAUAAGGCUUCUGCAUUUCCCAAUUCCUCUUCCAUCCCUUCCUUCAAUGAGAGACACGCCCAAGUAAUGCAUGUGUGUUCUACCUUUUACCUACACGGCCCUAAUGAAACAUUGACCUUGUUUAGACCGAUGGAUGCAUUCAAUGUUCAUGCUAUAGUAUCAGUACAGCGGUGGUUGGUUGAGGACAUAGCUUACUGCAUACAGCACAUGCUAAAUUUCACACAAAGCACAGAGUCCAGUGCUGACGGGAACACGCAUUCCCAGGUCAUCACAGAUAUACUGCCAAUUCUCUGUUUGGUGGUUAGAAGAAGAAAAUGUUUGCUAAAUGGUGUGAGGUGUGGCUUAGCAUUGGUACUGUUGCUUCCACAGUAAUACUAAAGAAGAUGUCCGGCUAUAGGCUUUAAUGGUGGGUUUACGUUUUAAAUUUACUUUUGAAAAAGGCCUGGGUUAUUCGGAUGGGUCGGAUGUAGAAGCAACAGCUGUCUUACUUCCGCGAGUUCCCCCUGCCCUCCUCUCUCUCUUUCUCUCUAAUUCUCCCUACGUCUCCCUAUCAGUUUCACUCUAGCUCUGAUACAUAUGCUCAAAUGAAAAUAUACUCUGUUGUUAGUGGUGAAUGAUGUCUUGUGAUACUCUACGCCUUUUAAUAGUGCUGUGUUUAUUGUGUAUGACGUAUUCAUAGUAGUAUUUAUGAUGAUAAGUCUGAGAAAAGAAUAUCCCAAACUCUUGAGAAUUCUACUGUAUUCUUAUUAUAUGGAAUUCGUGUGAAAUAAAAAAAGAAUAAAACUUGAAAUUAUUCUGUUGAUGGUUAAAUGUCUGCCUCUUCUUAUAAUGUGUUUUAUCAAUGAUGUUAUAUAUAUUUCUCUUUAGACACGUCUUCAAGUCAUUUCGUGCAUGCAUUAAGUGCUG